rnacentral:rRNA from 1 species
AUUGAACGCUGGCGGCAGGCUUAACACAUGCAAGUCGAGCGGGGAAAGGUAGCUUGCUACUUUACCUAGCGGCGGACGGGUGAGUAAUGCUUAGGAAUCUGCCUAUUAGUGGGGGACAACAUCUCGAGAGGGAUGCUAAUACCGCAUACGUCCUACGGGUGAAAGCAGGGGACCUGCGGGCCUUGCGCUAAUAGAGGAGCCUAAGGCGGAUUAGCUGGUUGGGGGGGUAAAGGCCUACCAAGGCGACGAUCUGUGGCCGGUCCGAGAGGAUGGUCCGCCAACCUGGGAACGAGACCCGGGCCCGAAUCCUACGGGAGGGCGGAGUGGGGAAUAUUGGACAAAGGGGGGAACCCUGAUCCAGCCAUGCCGCGUGUGUGAAGAAGGCCUUUUGGUUGUAAAGCACUUUAAGCGAGGAGGAGGCUACUUAGAUUAAUACUCUAGGAUAGUGGACGUUACUCGCAGAAUAAGCACCAGCUAACUCUGUGCCAGCCGCCGCGGUAAUAC